CCUGGGAACUGCGUUNUGAACUGGGUGACUAGAGUGUGUCAGAGGGAGGUAGAAUUCCACGUGUAGCAGUGAAAUGCGUAGAGAUGUGGAGGAAUACCGAUGGCGAAGGCAGCCUCCUGGGAUAACACUGACGUUCAUGCCCGAAAGCGUGGGUAGCAAACAGGAUUAGAUACCCUGGUAGUCCACGCCCUAAACGAUGUCGAUUAGCUGUUGGGCAGCAUGACUGCUUAGUAGCGAAGCUAACGCGUGAAAUCGACCGCCUGGGGAGUACGGUCGCAAGAUUAAAACUCAAAGGAAUUGACGGGGACCCGCACAAGCGGUGGAUGAUGUGGAUUAAUUCGAUGCAACGCGAAGAACCUUACCUGGUCUUGACAUGUACGGAACCCUCCAGAGACGGAGGGGUGCCUUCGGGAGCCGUAACACAGGUGCUGCAUGGCUGUCGUCAGCUCGUGUCGUGAGAUGUUGGGUUAAGUCCCGCAACGAGCGCAACCCUUGUCAUUAGUUGCCAUCAUUAAGUUGGGCACUCUAAUGGGACUGCCGGUGACAAGCCGGAGGAAGGUGGGGAUGACGUCAAGUCCUCAUGGCCCUUAUGACCAGGGCUUCACACGUCAUACAAUGGUCGGUACAGAGGGUAGCCAAGCCGCGAGGUGGAGCCAAUCUCACAAAACCGAUCGUAGUCCGGAUUGCACUCUGCAACUCGAGUGCAUGAAGUCGGAAUCGCUAGUAAUCGCAGGUCAGCAUACUGCGGUGAAUACGUUCCCGGGUCUUGUACGCACCGC
rnacentral:rRNA from 1 species